rnacentral:rRNA from 1 species
CUAGGAAUCUUGGGAAUGGGCGAAAGCCUGACCCAGCAACGCCGCGUGGGCGAUGAAGGCCUUCGGGUCGUAAAGCCCUUUUGAGGGGGACGAUGAUGACGGUACCCCUCGAAUAAGCCACGGCUAACUACGUGCCAGCAGCCGCGGUAAUACGUAGGUGGCAAGCGUUGUCCGGAUUUACUGGGCGUAAAGGGCGUGCAGGCGGUUUGUUUAGUCUAGGGUGAAAGCUCCCGGCUUAACUGGGAGAGGUCCUUGGAUACUGGCAAACUUGAGGGAGGCAGAGGAAAGUGGAAUUCCCGGUGUAGUGGUGAUAUGCGUAGAUAUCGGGAGGAACACCAGUGGCGAAGGCGGCUUUCUGGGCCUUACCUGACGCUGAGACGCGAAAGCGUGGGGAGCGAA